CGAACUCAGGACCUUGUGCUUGAGAGGCAGGUGCAGUGCCACUGAGCUACAUCCCUGGUCCAACAAAAUGUCCAGGCUCCUCAGCCCUGCCUUGAGAGGAUACCCUGCCCUGGCCUCCUGGUGUCUGGCUUGUUUCAUGUGACAUGUGACGUGAUGUCCUCCUGCUCCGUCCCUCCUUGGUUUCUCCAUCUGGCAUCUGCCGAGCUUCUCCAUUAAGGGCCCUGCUGUGGGCCUCUAGGCUGGCCCCAAACCUCGGC
rnacentral:lncRNA from 1 species